rnacentral:rRNA from 1 species
CGCUGGCGGCAGGCCUAACACAUGCAAGUCGAGCGGAUGAAAGGAGCUUGCUCCUGGAUUCAGCGGCGGACGGGUGAGUAAUGCCUAGGAAUCUGCCUGGUAGUGGGGGACAACGUUUCGAAAGGAACGCUAAUACCGCAUACGUCCUACGGGAGAAAGCAGGGGACCUUCGGGCCUUGCGCUAUCAGAUGAGCCUAGGUCGGAUUAGCUAGUUGGUGAGGUAAUGGCUCACCAAGGCGACGAUCCGUAACUGGUCUGAGAGGAUGAUCAGUCACACUGGAACUGAGGCACGGUCCAGACUCCUACGGGAGGCAGCAGUGGGGAAUAUUGGACAAUGGGCGAAAGCCUGAUCCAGCCAUGCCGCGUGUGUGAAGAAGGUCUUCGGAUUGUAAAGCACUUUAAGUUGGGAGGAAGGGUUGUAGAUUAAUACUCUGCAAUUUUGACGUUACCGACAGAAUAAGCACCGGCU